AUGUUGUAUAUAGCUGCUUCAUCCACCCAUAUCCACCAUAAUAAAAGAACUAGGAGACAUGAUUUGCUUGAGCUUUUUAGAAACCCUAGCCGUCACCACUAUCUCCACCAUCCACCGUCACCCCAAAACCCAUUGGUGGAUCUGGACUCAACACAUUAAAGAGGUCGUGCCUCUUCCUUUCUCCUUGAACAACCCACAAUCGGAGCCUGCUCAAGCUCAACAUUUUCCACAACGAACCACCAUCUGGUAAAUAACCAAGAUAACCAUGGUAACCCACACAUGCUCCCUACUCGACCUCUAUAAUGACCAUCAUCGAGGGUUUUGAUUAUGUGUGGUUAUUGAUGAUUUUUUUGCUGGAGAAAAGAAAAUGGGCGUGAGAUCGAUGAAUAUUUACCCUAAAUAUGUUAGAUCUAUGAUAGAAUGCAAAUGAAGAGUUUCUCCUAAACAUAUUCAAGGAACAGGAUGAGGAGAUGUAAACCCGAUGUGAUAUAAUGAAAUUGAACUUUGGGUCAACCACACAACCAUCAAGGAAAAAACAAGAAUACACAAAUCAAUUUCAAAGGUUAAUUGUGGAUUAUAUCCUCAUUUUAUAACAAAAAUAUGUUACCUGACCCUUUUGGUUUUCUAUUUUCGGUAGGUUUUCAUGUGAAGAGAC